rnacentral:tRNA from 1 species
GCAUUCCUAGCUCAGUCGGUAGAGCGCGCGGCUUUUAACCGCGUGGUCGUGGGUUCGAUCCCCACGGAAUGCG